AUACUCCGAGAACUGAAAGGCUUUUUGAAGUCUUCGGAUGGAUAGAAGAACCCCUGAUGCCGUCGAGCCAAGAAAAGUUUCUAAGUUUAGCUAAUGUUGCCCGUACCGUAAACCGACACAGGUGGGUGGGAUGAGUAUUCUAAGGCGCGUGGAAGAACUCUCUUUAAGGAACUCUGCAAAAUAGCACCGUAUCUUCGGUAUAAGGUGUGGUUAGCUUUGUAUUAGGAUUUACUCCGAAAGCAAGGAAACUUACAACAAAGAGUCCCUCCCGACUGUUUACCAAAAACACAGCACUCUGCUAACUCGUAAGAGGAUGUAUAGGGUGUGACGCCUGCCCGGUGCUCGAAGGUUAAUUGAUGGGGUUAGCAUUAGCGAAGCUCUUGAUCGAAGCCCGAGUAAACGGCGGCCGUAACUAUAACGGUCCUAAGGUAGCGAAAUUCCUUGUCGGUUAAAUACCGACCUGCAUGAAUGGCGUAACGAGAUGGGAGCUGUCUCAAAGAGGGAUCCAGUGAAAUUGUAGUGGAGGUGAAAAUUCCUCCUACCCGCGGCAAGACGGAAAGACCCCGUGGACCU
rnacentral:rRNA from 1 species